UCACCCUUCUAGGUGCUGAGGACCAGGAUGGGGAUGGAGAAGGAUCCAAGACAGCUCUUCGGCCUCUGAAACACUCUGAAAACAAAGAAGAUGACGGACAAGAAAUAGCUUGACUGGAAGCUGCUGCCCUUCCCUGGUGGGGGGGCCCACCCUCUGGCUGUAUUGAGCCUCAAUGUGAGCCCUGCCCCCAAUGAAUGGGUUUUGUUCCACAGAUCUACCCAUUCUUUAGAGGACGUGGUUUACAGGCUACCCACAGCCUUAUUUUCCCAAUGGACUUAAUUCCCAUCAUCCUGAAGCCUCCUUUCUCCAGUGACACGAUACACGAACCAUC
rnacentral:lncRNA from 1 species